rnacentral:rRNA from 1 species
GUUCCGGGUCUUGUACACACCGCCCGUCACACCAUGAGAGUUUGUAACACCCAAAGCCGGUGGCGGUAACCUUCGGGAGCCAGCCGUCUAAGGUGGGACAGAUGAUUAGGUGUGAAGUCGUAACAAGGUAGCCGUAGGAGAACCUGCGGCUGGAUCACCUCCUUUC